rnacentral:lncRNA from 1 species
AGUGUUCCUGCUUUUUCUCUUUUGUUUUCCUUUCUCACCCUUCCUUAUUUUGUUCCAUAUUUUUCCUUCCUACUUUCUCCUUUUCUUCAUUUCCUUUCUUCCUUCGUUUUUCCCUCCCUUUUGUUAGCAAGUCCAAGUGCUUGUCUGUGGCCCUUUACUUACUGCGUGCUCUAUGAGGAGAAUGAGCUUCAAAGGUAUCAUCACAAUUAAGAAGUGCAGUAUUAAAAUGGGUAUCAUUCUGUCAAUCCAA